UAAAUCUCUACAGUCAAGUGCUGCAUUUUGCAUAGUUUCUUUGUCUCUACAAAUUCUGCACCAGCUAAAUCACGAAAAACUACGAGCGACGCAUGUGACUGCAAUUACGAUGCUGGCAGUUCGUCAUAAAAAUGGACGACGCUUGCAAGAUACUAUGAAUCGUGCGGAAUAAAGGCCAGCGCGACUGAAGUGAGAAACGCUGCAAAUACAUGAAUACUGGGGGCCUGGCAAAAAUCAGCAAAGCUGCUACACAGUUCCCACAGAAUUCCCAGUUCACUCACAAUUGGCUUUGGGAUGGACAGGAUUGCUGACAGUUGAUGCAAAAAAAUCUGUUCAGUGCAGUCUACAGAAUGCAAAAAAGAACGCCGCCGAAGCCCAUGGGGCACCAAGAACUGAUGUGGGAAGAAAAAGACACCACGACAGCGAAGACUUCUCCGAGUCAGACGUUUCGGACUCUGAAUGUAUUGUGUCAGCUGCUGAAGUAAAGAAGGCUAAUGAACAGGCCACAUACUGGCAGCAGCUUUGUGAAAAGAAAGAGGAGGAAAUAUCACAUCUUCCUUCCUGGCUUCUGUACAUAUUCCAGGCUAGCAGCACAGGCUGGCUCUCCUGCAGAGCCGCAACAGCAGUUCAGAAUAGAAACCGAUGCUGAAACCUGGCUCGGCUUCAAUAAACUACUUGCAAGUGGGUUCCGAAGGAACCUCGGAAUCGAUUCCUAGCUCGGAAUCGAUUCCUGGUUCCAUAACCGCCUUGCAAGUGGAUCCAUUUGAAAAUGGAAACGUGUUUCCAGCUGGAAAGCAAUUCCUAGCUGGAAUUCAUUCCUAGC